AUUGAACGCUGGCGGAAUGCUUUACACAUGCAAGUCGAGCGGCAGCGCGGCCUUCGGGCUGGCGGCGAGCGGCGAACGGGUGAGUAAUGCAUCGGAACAUGCCCAGUCGUGGGGGAUAACACUUCGAAAGAAGUGCUAAUACCGCAUACGUCCUGAGGGGGAAAGCGGGGGAUCGCAAGACCUCGCGCGAUUGGAGUGGCCGAUGUCAGAUUAGUUAGUUGGUGGGGUAAAGGCCUACCAAGGCGACGAUCUGUAGCUGGUCUGAGAGGAUGAUCAGCCACACUGGGACUGAGACACGGCCCAGACUCCUACGGGAGGCAGCAGUGGGGAAUUUUGGACAAUGGGGGCAACCCUGAUCCAGCCAUUCCGCGUGAGUGAAGAAGGCCUUCGGGUUGUAAAGCUCUUUCGGCAGGAACGAAACGGUGGGCUCUAACAUAGUCCGCUAAUGACGGUACCUGAAGAAGAAGCACCGGCUAACUACGUG
rnacentral:rRNA from 1 species